UACGGAGGGGGCUAGCGUUGUUCGGAAUUACUGGGCGUAAAGCGCACGUAGGCGGCUUUGUAAGUUAGAGGUGAAAGCCCGGAGCUCAACUCCGGAAUUGCCUUUAAGACUGCAUCGCUCGAAUCAUGGAGAGGUGAGUGGAACUCCGAGUGUAGAGGUGAAAUUCGUAGAUAUUCGGAAGAACACCAGUGGCGAAGGCGACUCACUGGACACGUAUUGACGCUGAGGUGCGAAAGCGUGGGGAGCAAACAGG
rnacentral:rRNA from 1 species